GACAGCGUGGCGUAGUGUUUUGUGCUUUGGACUAUGACUCUAAAGGCUAAGGUUUGAAUCCCAGCUCAGCCA